rnacentral:misc_RNA from 1 species
GGGGGAGAGAAUCAAAAUGAAUAUGUAUACAGACAACCAAUCUCAUGACUAAAAAAAUUAUAAAAGGUGAAAAUUUAGCUCUACACUAUGGUUAUCUGCCUUCAUUUCUAUCAGAAUGUGAAAGAAAAGAAGUUGAACCAGCUUCAAUAUCAACAUCCCCAUGAUCACCCCCACAUGACCAUGUAUUGAGCUUCUCAAAAUUUGAUGACA